rnacentral:rRNA from 1 species
AGCUCCAAUAGCGUAUAUUAAGAUUGCUGCGGUUAAAAAGCUCGUAGUUGGAUUUCUGCCGAGGACGACCUGUCUGCCCACUGGGUGUGUAUCUGGGUCGGCCUGGGCAUAUUCUUGGAGAACGUAUCUGCACUUGACUGUGUGGUGCGGUAUCCAACAUUUUUACUGUGAGGAAAUUACAUUGUUCCAAGCAGGCACACGCCUUGAAUACAUUAGCAUGGAAUAAUAAGAUAGGACCUCGGUUCUAUUUUGCUGGUUUCUAGAACUGUGGUAAUGAUUAAUAGGGAUACUUGCGGGCAUUCGUGUUUAAUUGUCAACGGUGAAAUUCUUGGAUUUGAUAAAGACGGACUGCUGCGAAAACAUUUGCCAAUGAUGUUUUCA